rnacentral:lncRNA from 1 species
GUGUCCUCAGCAAGCACAUCCUGGUCGUACAGAGACCUUACAAUUUCAGGGAAAAGUUUCAUCAACUUGGCAUCCUCAUAACAUUGCAUCUGAACUUUGUAGAUCAACUCCAGCUCCAGUUUCCCUGUGCUACAGAAGGUAUUCAACAAUUGUGCCCAUGUUUUCACCUGUGUAGAACGAAAAGGUCAACACCUAAAACAUUUCUUUUUUUGUCUAUAUUUUCAGACAACAGCUUUGGAAGACAUGGAAGACAUGCCCAAACCAGCUUCAAACCACUGAACUAUAAUUAGUGACUUCAGCAAUAAAAGGAACGACAUUGGCUCAUGUACCUUCUAGUAAUCACAUUUCUGUUUCUUCAGUUUAUUUGUUUCUAGUUUCCAAGGAAGGCACUUAAUAACCGUUUCUGUUUCUGCAUUUCCAGAUUUUAGAGGAAUUUUUCCAAAAUUAUGAAAAUAGCAAAACCAAACUCCUUGAUUCUGUU